AGCAAACAGGAUUAGAUACCCUGGUAGUCCACGCCCUAAACGAUGUCUACUAGUUGUCGGGUCUUAAUUGACUUGGUAACGCAGCUAACGCGUGAAGUAGACCGCCUGGGGAGUACGGUCGCAAGAUUAAAACUCAAAGGAAUUGACGGGGACCCGCACAAGCGGUGGAUGAUGUGGAUUAAUUCGAUGCAACGCGAAAAACCUUACCUACCCUUGACAUGUACAGAAUCCCGAAGAGAUUUGGGAGUGUUCGAAAGAAAACUGUAACACAGGUGCUGCAUGGCUGUCGUCAGCUCGUGUCGUGAGAUGUUGGGUUAAGUCCCGCAACGAGCGCAACCCUUGUCAUUAGUUGCUACGAAAGGGCACUCUAAUGAGACUGCCGGUGACAAACCGGAGGAAGGUGGGGAUGACGUCAAGUCCUCAUGGCCCUUAUGGGUAGGGCUUCACACGUCAUACAAUGGUACAUACAGAGGGCCCCCAACCCGCGAGGGGGAGCUAAUCCCAGAAAGUGUAUCGUAGUCCGGAUUGUAGUCUGCAACUCGACUACAUGAAGUUGGAAUCGCUAGUAAUCGCGGAUCAGCAUGUCGCGGUGAAUACGUUCCCGGGUCUUGUACACACCGCCCGUCACACCAUGGGAGCGGGUUUUACCA
rnacentral:rRNA from 1 species